rnacentral:rRNA from 1 species
GAUAAACGCUGGCGGCGUGCCUAAUGCAUGCAAGUCGAACGAGUGGCAAACGGGUGAGUAACACGUGGGCAAUCUGCCCUCAAGUGGGGAAUAACGCUGCGAAAGCAGUGCUAAUACCGCAUCUUGAGGAGGAGCCCGCGGCUGAUUAGCUAGUUGGUGGGGUAACGGCCUACCAAGGCGAUGAUCAGUAGCCGGCCUGAAGGGCUGACGGCCACACUGGGACUGAGACACGGCCCAGACUCCUGCGGGAGGCAGCAGCAAGGAAUUUUCCGCAAUGGCCUUAGGGCUGACGGAGCAACGCCGCGUGGAUGACGAAGCCUUUCGGGGUGUAAAAUCCUUUUAUGUGUGAAGCGGUAGCACAUGAAUAAGCAUCGGCUAACUACGCGCCAGCAGCCGCGGUAAUACGUAGGAUGCAAGCGUUGUCCGGAAUUAUUGGGCGUAAAGGGCGCGCAGGCGGUCUGUCAAGUCAGUUGUGAAAUCUCCCGGCUUAACUGGGAGGGGCCAAUUGAUACUAGCAGACUUGAGGACAGAAGAGGAAAGUGGAAUUCCCGGUGUAGUGGUGAAAUGCGUAGAUAUCGGGAGGAACACCAAUGGCGAAAGCAGCUUUCUGGUCUGUAUCUGACGCUCAGGCGCGAAGGCUAGGGGAGCAAACAGGAUUAGAUACCCUGGUAGUCCUAGCAGUAAACAUGUACACUAGGUGUUGGUCAGUACCCAAGCAAACGCGUUAAGUGUACCGCCUGGGGAGUACGGUCGCAAGACUAAAACUCAAAGGAAUUGACGGGGGCCCGCACAAGCAGCGGAGCGUGUGGUUUAAUUCGACGCAACGCGCAGAACCUUACCAGGACUUGACAUGCAGAUGCUGCAUGGCUGUCGUCAGCUCGUGUCGUGAGAUGUUGGGUUAAGUCCCGCAACGAGCGCAACCCCCGUGGUUAGUUGUAUCUAGCCAGACUGCCGAGAGAAACUCGGAGGAAGGUGGGGAUGACGUCAAGUCAGCAUGGCUCUUACGUUCUGGGCUACACACACGCUACAAUGGCCGGUACAGAGGGAAGCGAACCGCGAGGUGGAGCAAAUCCCACAAAGCCGGUCUCAGUUCAGAUUGUAGGCUGCAACUCGCCUGCAUGAAGUCGGAGUUGCUAGUAACCGCAAGUCAGCACAUUGCGGUGAAUAUGUUCCCGGGCCCUGUAUCCACCGCCCGUCA